ensembl:miRNA
AUUAGGGUGGUGCAAAAGUAAUUGCGGUUUUUGCCAUUACUUUCAAUGGCAAAAACCGCAAUUACUCUUGCAUUAACCUAAUACUU